rnacentral:lncRNA from 1 species
CUACUCAGCCUGGUGUCACCUCCUCUGCCUAGAUGGACCAAUUGUGCCCAUGCCUUGUGAUCUCCUGUGUUUAUUUUAAAAAGUGGGGAGGAGAUCUGGCCCAGGACUUUACAAGAGCUGCUAUCCCCAACCAUGAUAGCCAGCAUGGGUGAACUUAAAGACCUGCUUCCCUAAAGAGCUGUGAAGGCAGAAGAUGGACGUCACGCACUUCCCUGAAGGCCUGAAUUACACACAGAACCCCACAAACACUAAUCAAGUUCAGUGUGCCGCUAGCCUUGAGGAACGGAAGAGCUUUCUGAGAAACUGAGAACUCUGAAAACGUGGCAGGACAGGCCGGCUGGGCUGGCACCUGGGAGGGAUUCAUACCUGGAACCUCCGCAUGUCCCGAGGGUUGCCCGCAUUCUUCAGGCAGUUCUGAUUGCACUUGAGGAAGAACUUUAGAAAGAAUCUACAAAAACACAAAGAAUGGAUAGUUAGGGUUGGCUCACAGAAGACAACGUCAACAACAAAGACACUUGCAAGGAAUAACUGUAGAUUCCAGAGCUCUGCUGGCUGCCUCAGAGCAGGGGAUGCUGAGUGCAGAUGUAGGGCUGGCUAGGGAUGCUCCUGGUCUCCGCUGUAUGUGGUAACUUGGCACAGCUGUCCAACACAAGAGUCCCAAGAUUAAUAGCAACAACUGUGUCUUUCUGAGGGACCUCUUCUUGCAAGGGUCUUUGCG